rnacentral:lncRNA from 1 species
GCUGAUUUCCAGACACAUUUUGGAAAUGACUGGAUUCCCUACUGAGCAGAAGUCCCAUUUUGCUAUCCGCUCUGGUUAUAUAGAAGUAAAUGCCACUGUGAAAAGACCUCUUUCCCUGUAAUAUACUUUACUUCCAGGAUGGUGAAUUACUGAAGUACUUUCCAUGGCUUUAGUUUGUCCAGAGGCACAAUCUCGCCUUUCAUUAAAAUCAAUCUCAUAAUCAGUUAUUUGCUUACAGAAGUUGCGGAUGCCGUACCCCUGGAAGAGUUUGAGGCCAGGCUGGAUGGCGCUUUGGGCAACCUGAGCUAGAAGGAGCCCACGACAAGGGGAUUGGAACACAUGAUCUUUAAAAUCCCUUCCAACUCAAACCAUGCCAAGAUUCUGAGAUUUAUUUUCUGUUAGCGGCUCUACUCAUGGGCCAAGGUGUACUUGGUACCUUCCUGGGUAGAGAUGGAGUUUUGUAGACUCUGCCAGCCAUCAGGAGCCAGCUGUGGCCUGAACAUCCUGCGGACAAAGGGGCAAGAGCAAAACCAAGAGAUCAGAUUCUGGUCCGGAAGAGGCUGGGUUGUGGAUCAAGCACAUAGCACAUAGCUGAUGGAAAAGCCGAUGAUGAUAAAUAAGAGGGUUUUGGGGGUCAUCUGUUUUCAGCCAGCCCAUUCAGGCAAGAAUAAGCUUUUAUUUUCUUCACCAUGACAGCAUAUGUCAAGCUAACAAUGGCUGGGUAUUCCUCUGAGGCUGUAAAAUAAGCUCAUUCAUACUUUCUCUCUCUUUGUUGCAGACAGAACAGAAAAGAAAAAGAAAACCCUACUGAGCUCCUGCUCGCUCUCCUGACCAAGUGUUCUCCCACUCACCACUGUCAUUGUCAUUCCCAGCAGCAUCACACCAACCACAGGAGCAGGGCUGGGGUUUGAGUCCAUGGCCAUGUUCCCACUGAGAUAGGGCUGAGUCAAUGCCCUGUGCUGGGGCAGGGGGCCCUGGAGCCCAUCCUGCAUCUUAGGCAGCAGCAAUAGUACAUCCGCACCUGGAGAAUGCCCAGCACCUGGGGAUGGUUGGCAUGAGACCUGAUUCAAUAACACCCCAAAUUUCAGAGCUUGUGAACAGCCAUUGAAAUCUUGGUAGUCUAAUUUAGCUGAAAAGCAGACCUCACCAAAAAAUAAAUGGCCUCAUAAGCGCUGGAACA